UCACUGGAUGAUGAAGAGAUUGUGUCCUAUAUUCUCACUGGCCUUGACAUUGAUUUUAACCCAAUUGUACUAGCCAUAGUUGCAAGGGUUGAACCAAUCACAGUCAAUGAAUUGUAUGCUCAGCUGUUAAGCUUUAAAA